UGCCGAUGAUGAAUUUUAGUGGAACUUAUUAAUGAGUAUUCAUUGAUUACGAACACCCUACUGCCUUCCUUCUGAGGCU